AAUACUUAAAUGCUUUUUAAAUGUGUUUUUUGGUUGUGGCACUGCAGUUUGCACCAAUUCUUUAGAAUGGCCCAUGUAUGUGUGUAAUAUAUAUAUAUACACAU